GAUGAACGCUGGCGGCGUGCCUAAUACAUGCAAGUCGAGCGAACAGAUAAGGAGCUUGCUCCUUUGAAGUUAGCGGCGGACGGGUGAGUAACACGUGGGUAACCUACCUAUAAGACUGGGAUAACUUCGGGAAACCGGAGCUAAUACCGGAUAACAUUUAGAACCACAUGGUUCUAAAGUGAAAGAUGGUUUUGCUAUCACUUAUAGAUGGACCCGCGCCGUAUUAGCUAGUUGGUAAGGUAACGGCUUACCAAGGCGACGAUACGUAGCCGACCUGAGAGGGUGAUCGGCCACACUGGAACUGAGACGCGGUCCAGACUCCUACGGGAGGCAGCAGUAGGGAAUCUUCCGCAAUGGGCGAAAGCCUGACGGAGCAACGCCGCGUGAGUGAUGAAGGGUUUCGGCUCGUAAAACUCUGUUAUUAGGGAAGAACAAAUGUGUAAGUAACUGUGCACAUCUUGACGGUACCUAAUCAGAAAGCCACGGCUAACUACGUGCCAGCAGCCGCGGUAAUACGUAGGUGGCAAGCGUUAUCCGGAAUUAUUGGGCGUAAAGCGCGCGUAGGCGGUUUCUUAAGUCUGAUGUGAAAGCCCACGGCUCAACCGUGGAGGGUCAUUGGAAACUGGGAAACUUGAGUGCAGAAGAGGAAAGUGGAAUUCCAUGUGUAGCGGUGAAAUGCGCAGAGAUAUGGAGGAACACCAGUGGCGAAGGCGACUUUCUGGUCUGUAACUGACGCUGAUGUGCGAAAGCGUGGGGAUCAAACAGGAUUAGAUACCCUGGUAGUCCACGCCGUAAACGAUGAGUGCUAAGUGUUAGGGGGUUUCCGCCCCUUAGUGCUGCAGCUAACGCAUUAAGCACUCCGCCUGGGGAGUACGACCGCAAGGUUGAAACUCAAAGGAAUUGACGGGGACCCGCACAAGCGGUGGAGCAUGUGGUUUAAUUCGAAGCAACGCGAAGAACCUUACCAAAUCUUGACAUCCUUUGAAAACUCUAGAGAUAGAGCCUUCCCCUUCGGGGGACAAAGUGACAGGUGGUGCAUGGUUGUCGUCAGCUCGUGUCGUGAGAUGUUGGGUUAAGUCCCGCAACGAGCGCAACCCUUAAGCUUAGUUGCCAUCAUUAAGUUGGGCACUCUAGGUUGACUGCCGGUGACAAACCGGAGGAAGGUGGGGAUGACGUCAAAUCAUCAUGCCCCUUAUGAUUUGGGCUACACACGUGCUACAAUGGACAAUACAAAGGGCAGCUAAACCGCGAGGUCAUGCAAAUCCCAUAAAGUUGUUCUCAGUUCGGAUUGUAGUCUGCAACUCGACUACAUGAAGCUGGAAUCGCUAGUAAUCGUAGAUCAGCAUGCUACGGUGAAUACGUUCCCGGGUCU
rnacentral:rRNA from 1 species